AUUUGUGAUGAUAACAUGCCAAACGGCCUUAAACAGAAUCCAAAUAACAGGCCCAAACCUUUCGGAUCUUUUGAACAGUUUUUUCGCAAAUUUUGACGCCGAAACUAACAUUAGGGUUUACAGCACAAGUAUAUAUACAUAUAAAGCUGUGACCACACGAUCCCAACCAUCUAUGUCUGAUGGCACUGGCACGUUUUGUUGAAUUUGUGAGGUCAGUUGCAAUAUCAUGAUCGUUUUCUUAUCGAAACAGAAAAGGUCUAAUUUGUAAAGCUAGGUUGAUGGAUGAAGCCAAGAGGGUUUAUGAGGAGCUAUCAACUUUUGGUAUAGCUCUGAUCUUGUAUGUCAUCGUACCCUGCUGAAAUGUGGAAAGAAUGAAUGAACUAUUUUGAAAGCAUAAGUGAGUCAACAAAAGGCGAAAGCUUCAUCAUGAGUAAAGCUGUGCAUUCUUACAAAUCUGCCGAAAAGCAAUGUAAAGCCAAAGCUAAGGAAUUUUAAUGAACAAUGGAAUCCCAUUCUUUAAGAAACUUGAGGUUGUAUUAGGAGAGUGAAAACUCCAUGAGAUACUUGUGUAUGUGAGAAGAAUUAUGACAGUGGAACAAACUAAUCAACUUGGCAAUGGUCAUGGUGGAUGUUGCAUGUAUGCUGUGGGUGACAUGAUGAUUGGGCUCGUGGCUCAGAAGCACAUUUGUGAGGGGGACGUGAUUCACGUUUUACUUUUUGGAAAUAGUCAUAAUAUGGAGAAUUAUGUUA